CGAAAUUUUUCGAAAAAAUAAACAUGAACGCGAUGAAACGAUUAAAUCCAAGUGAAAUACUCACAGAUUUUUGGGGAAAAACGUGUAGAUCUGGAAGAGGAAAGCACCAGAAAUUUUUAGAGAGAGAAGAGCGAAAUUUGGUUUAGAUUAGAGUGAGAAAUAAAACUCUGUAACCGGUUAUAUUUCCGCGGCUAUAGUG
rnacentral:lncRNA from 1 species